GAAUGGAAUCUCCUGUGUCGAUAUAUAAUAUAUUCUUCGUCUAUAUUCUUCUGUGUCCAGUCGUCGAGUGUCAUGUGGUGUUCCAUAAAUAUUUGUGAAUAUAGACUAAUUGGGGUCAGAAGCUUUUGAUGUAUGCUUUCAUGGACAUGAGACUGCUCUCCAUAUUACAAUGUGAGGCUAUACUACCUGAAAAUUUCAGGAAUAGAACCUCGGACAAUUAUUGGAGAAAGAGUUUACACUUGAGUGAUUCCGCUUCCUAUCACAGGCAGAAAAAAGGCUGCUUCCACACAAAAGAAGUGAGGAAAAGUAUAAGAGAGCAGUCA